GUACACCCUCUUAUCUGCAUGAAGACAACAACAUGUCACUAAACACUCUCCUUUGGAGUAGACAAUGGCAGACUCCUCUCCACUCCACAAUAGUCAGCCCCCCCCCCCCCCCCCAGCUCAUCCGUCAGUUUAAGCACACAAAAUGUUGUCUUCCCUUAAAUAAAAAAUGAAUGUCAUACAUUGUGUUUCCCCCUAAUAAACUGCAAUCUCUCCAUGAAACAAUUAUGUCGCUAUAUUGUCCUACACCCUAAUACAAUGUUGGAUGUAAUACUUUGUGGUAGCAACAUAUAUAAGAUAGUAUAUUACAUGUCAAACUGUAGUUUUAACUGUGAAAGUCAAAGUUUUGUCCGAAUCCGUGUUGCGUAAAAUUGCAUUAUUAUCAUCGAUCAGUGCGCGCUAUGGCUCCGUGUAUUUUCGCCCGCUUGUGCCGACCCAAGAGCCCCCAGUGCUCCCGGCCAGGGCUCCCUUUUUACGGCAACCCAAGGCUCAGCGUUUCCUCUUACGCCGCGAGCAGACGCUUUUACUGCAGCAUGUUUGUGAUCCCCUCUCCACAGCCACCCCGCCCAGACCAGGAACAAAGGAAAGCUGCACAAAAUGCGCUACCGAAAAAAUGCCACAAAAUGAUUUCCAGACGAAAACUCGAUGUGAAACUCACCAGACAUGAUGGUGGAGAUGAAGAGAGGCUCCCUGGAGAAGACCUGUGGGACUCCACAACGUCCUUUUCUGCCUCAGCAAAAUGGCCAAGAAUGAAAUUUGCGCAAAAGUAUUAAAAAAUCUCAACACAAAUGUCCUACAGCAGAGCCAGAGCAUAGAACAAUAUUGUAAUAUAGCUGGGGACAUAUUAGUUUGAGAUUUUCUCCCACCAUGCCUACUAUUUAAAACCCCUAGAACUCAAUGAUUUGACAAUGAUUUGAUUGCGCGUUACUUUCAAUUUGAAUAUUCAGAGGCAACAGAGUUUUAUCGAUUUUUCAAUAAAAAACACUCCACAUUAACAUUGUAUACGGUUCACUAUAAUGUAAUAUAGUAGUAUUUCACACUUUGACCAAAAAUAAACCAUAGUUUUAUUAAUUUUAUCUUCCUUUUGCAAUAUCAGAGCAUCACACCCCCUCAUUAAGCACUACAGGCCUAUAUGCUUUUUGCACACAACUUUAACACAGCAGUUCACCUUAUAUCUGCGAUCACGCAUUCACUGCGGCCAGUCUACAUGCCCACAAUAUAUUCAAACAUAUCUUUAAGCUUUAUUUCAUAGAAAAACAUGUGAAAGUGGCAAAGAAGUGGGCGUGGCAAAUGACAGUAGCCAUCUUUGCCAUCGCAGGCCUUCAGCUCCUCUAUCAAGUGCUCUGAGUACACCCACCUGCUGAAGGAUGCAGGGGGGAGACUCAGCAGCUCUUUGCGUUUAUAAUUUUACCUUUUAGACACUUUACAUUAUAAAAAAAUAAAGAAAAAAAAAGAAAGAAAAUUUCCCAGUGAGGAUCCACAGUUUGACAGGGAAUCGUUUCACAUUUAAAUAUACCUUCUUAAUUCAAACACUAAAUCACUUCCAUAUAAAUUUCAUUAAAGCUUAAAUGCAUUUAUUUUCGAAUCCUUUAUAGAAGGUUGCGUUGAGAACUUUGGCAGCUUCGUGCACCAGACAGCAGCAAUAUAUUCACAUCAGCCGGUAUAAAAUGUUGCAAUACACUUUUUUUUCUUCUUUUUUUUAAUUGGGAGACACAUGAUAAGUAACACAAUUAUCAAAAAUUACAGCAAAAUUAAA